CCUACGGGAGGCAGCAGUGGGGAAUAUUGGACAAUGGGCGAAAGCCUGAUCCAGCCAUGCCGCGUGUGUGAAGAAGGCCUUCGGGUUGUAAAGCACUUUCAGUGGGGAAGAAAGCCUUGGGGCUAAUACCCUCGAGGAAGGACAUCACCCACAGAAGAAGCACCGGCUAACUCCGUGCCAGCAGCCGCGGUAAUACGGAGGGUGCGAGCGUUAAUCGGAAUUACUGGGCGUAAAGCGCGCGUAGGCGGUCUGAUAAGCCGGUUGUGAAAGCCCCGGGCUCAACCUGGGAACGGCAUCCGGAACUGUCAGGCUAGAGUGCAGGAGAGGAAGGUAGAAUUCCCGAUGUAGCGGUGAAAUGCGUAGAGAUCGGGAGGAAUACCAGUGGCGAAGGCGGCCUUCUGGACUGACACUGACGCUGAGGUGCGAAAGCGUGGGUAGCAAACAGGAUUAGAUACCCGUGUAGUC
rnacentral:rRNA from 1 species